rnacentral:rRNA from 1 species
UACGAAGGGGCUAGCGUUGUUCGGAAUUACUGGGCGUAAAGCGCGCGUAGGCGGACUGACAAGUCGGGGUGAAAUCCCGAGGCUCAACCUCGGAACUGCCUUCGAUACUGUCAGUCUUGAGGUCGGGAGAGGUGAGUGGAACUCCGAGUGUAGAGGUGAAAUUCGUAGAUAUUCGGAAGAACACCAGUGGCGAAGGCGGCUCACUGGCCCGAUUCUGACGCUGAGGCGCGAAAGCGUGGGGAGCA